GAGAAAGAGGGAGGAGAGAGGGAGGGAGGGUAGCACGGACACAGUACAGGUCGGUCAUUCAGGACGGGGGGAUGGAGUUCCGUUCCUAUGACCGCAGACACGAAUUACGGGUGGAGUUACAUUCCGGGAGCAGGAGGCUGACACCAUCAGAGAAGAGGAAUUUUAAAUGCGUAACUAUGAAAUAACGGGAUGACUCUUCCGUUAAACAACUCUGGUGAUGUUACCUGGGAGCCAGCUGGUAUCGCCCUCUGCUGGGACGCCAUCCACUCCGGGUAUGCUCUGACAGAGAGCUCAAGUUCUGACCACUGCCAUCCAAGGAGGGAGGAUGAAAGCGAGGGUGGGAAUAUUGGCCUCCUCCUCCUCUUCCUCUGUGUGCAGGUCUCUCCUGUAGUUUGACUCUGUUGUUUCCACCACCGCGCUGUCUGCUCCCCCUCCUCCAUCCUCCUGACGCCUCGCCCCUAUCCGGGCAGUUGUCAACACCAGCUGAAGGUUCAAGUGCAAUUAUAGAAACAUGUAUUGUCUCUCAUCUUUUUAAUUCUUCAAUGGGCAAGUGGAUAUAAUCCUUACCAAUGCAACAACAACUCAGAUUAGUAGUGAGGUUAUUCAGUUGAGGUGUGAAGAAAAUAAAAAAUUACAUUUUUGAUACAGGCGGCACGGUGACCGACUGGUUAGAGCGCCUGCCUCACAGUUCUGAGGAACGGGGUUCAAUCCUGUGUGGAGUUUGCAGGUUCUCCCCGUGCCUGCAUGGGUUUUCUCCGGGCACUCCGGUUUCCUCCCACAUCCCAAAAACAUCCACGGUAGGUUAAUUGUCAACUCUAAAUUGCCCGUAGGUGUGAAUGUGAGUGCGAAUGGUUGUUUGUUUGUAUGUGCCCUGCGAUUGGCUGGCAACCAGUUCAGGGUAUACCCCGCCUCCUGCCCGAUGACAGCUGGGAUAGGCUCCAGCACGCCCGCGACCCUAGUGAGGAUAACCGGCUCAGAAAAUGGAUGGAUGGAUGUAAUAACACACAGUUUAAUCAAUUCAUUUAAUCGGGAUGGAUUCAACCCCUUUGUUCAGGAGUUUGGUGUGGGAGAACACAUAUGAGAUGAACUACAAGAGAGACUGACAAUAUCAGAGACCUCUGACUUAGCAAAUGUUUGUCUGGAUGAAUGUACAACCCCAAUUCCAAUGAAGUUGGGACAUUGUGUUAAACAUAAAUAAAAAGGGAAUACGAUGAUUUGCAAAUCAUGUUCAACCUCUAUUUAAUUGAAUACAUUACAAAGACAAGAUAUUUAAUGUUAAAACUGAUAAACUUUAUUGUUUUUAGGAAAUAAUAAUUAACUUAGAAUUUUAUGGCUGCAACACGUUCCAAAAAAAGCUGGGACAGGUGGCGAAAAAGAGUGAGAAAGUUGAGGAAUGCUCAUCAAAGACCUGCUUGGAACAUCCCACUGGUGAACAGGCUCAUUGGGAACAGGUGGGUGCCAUGAUUGGGUAUUAUUGGAGCUUCCCUGAAUUGCUCAGUCAUUCACAAGCAAAGAUGGGGCGAGGUUCACCUCUUUGUAAACGAGUGCGUGAGAAAUUAGUCGAACAGUUUAAGGAAAAUGUUCCUCAACGUACAAUUGCAAGGAAUUUAGGGAUUUCAUCAUCUACGGUCCAUAAUAUCAUCAAAAGGUUCAGAGAAUCUGGAGGCAUUACUGCAUGUAAGCGGCAAGGCCGAAAACCAACACUGAAUACCCGUUGACCUUCGAUCCCUCAGGCGGCAGUGCAUCAAAAACCGACAUCAAUGUGUAAAGGAUAUCACCACAUGGGCACUUCAGAAACACAAUGUCAGUAAAUACUGUUCGGCGCUACAUCCAUAAGUGCGACUUGAAACUCUACUUUGCAAAGCAAAAGCCAUUUAUCAACAACACCCACAAACGCCGCCGGUUCUUUGGGCCCGAGCUCAUCUAAGAUGGACUGAUGCAAAGUGGAAAAGUGUUCUGUGGUCCAACGAGUCCACAUUUCAAAUUGUUUGGGAAAUUGUGGACGUCGUAUCCUCCGGGCCAAAGAGGAAAAGAACCAUCCGGACUGUUAUGGACGCAGAGUUCCAAAGCCAGCAUCUGUGAUGGUAUGGGGCUGUGUGCCCCAUGCCUUCACAGAUGUGUUACUUACACAUCUGUGAAGGCACCAUUAAUGCUGAAAGGUACAUACAGGUUUUGGAGAAACACAUGCUGCCAUCCAAGCAACGUCUUUUUUCAUGGAUGCCCCUGCUUAUUUUAGCAAGACAAUGGCAAACCACAUUCUGCACGUGUUACGACGACGUGGCUUCGUAGUAAUAGAGUGCGGGUACUAGACUGGCCUACCUGCAGUCCAGACCUGUCUCCCUUUGAAAAUGUGUGGUGUAUUAUAAAGCGUAAAUACGACAACGGAGACCCCGGACUGUUGAACAGCUGAAGCUGAAGAAUUCCACCUACAAAGCUUCAACAAUUAGUGUCCUCAGUUCCCAAAACGUUUAUUGAAUGUUGUUAAAAGAAAAAGGUGAUGUAACACAGUGGUAAACAUGACCUUGUCCCAGCUUUUUUGGAACGUGUUGCAGUCAUAGAAUUCAAAGUAAAUAUUAAUUUGCUAUAAACAAUAAAGUUUAUCAGUUUGAACAUUAAAUAUCUUGUCUUUGUAGUUUAUUCAAUUAAAUAUAGGUUGAACAUGAUUUACAAAUCAUUGUAUUCUGUUUUUAUUUGUUUAACACAACAUCCCAACUUCAUUGGAAUUUGGGUUGUACAUAAAAAAUGGACAUCAUCAUUUGAAAUGUUGGAAGCCAAUUUCAAAUUUUCUUCAAUUUUCACAUACUGUAGGUGUAAAAGCCAGGUACUAAUAUUUAAGGCCAAGUUGGGUACAAUGUAGAUUAAAGAGUUAAAGGUGCUAUAAAAUUAAGGCUGUCGAAUGAGAGUCAAGGUAUGCGAAUGUACUCCGCAAUAUAUCUUUGACAAUUAUUGAUAUGGAUGCCACUUUGUUCUUUCUGGACAAAAGGUUUCCUCUACCAUUAAACAGUAGAUUCAUAGUCAAAGAGUAAUUUGGGAUGCAGAGAGAUAUUUGCUGAGGAGACUAAACAUGAAAGCUGAUUACAAACACGAGGCAAACAAGGCCUGCAAUGACACCACAAAGCACAGCUCACACACACACACACACAGACACACACACACAUCUGAAGUAAUGAUUGAAAUAGCGAGGGUACAGCCCUCCAUCUUGUGCAAGCAGAAACUUCCUCCGAAGACCCACAGGGCUUGUCUUGAGUAAAGAGCAGACAGUUUGGGGUAAACCAACUUGGCACAUGCUGCAGCUCAAAAAAAAAAUUACAAAAAGUCACAGGGUUUCAUGAAAACGACGGGUUCAUAUUUCACGAGGCUGCUGCUGACUCGUGCUCGAUGACUGACCACCAAGUGGUGGAGAGUUCAAGUCUGUUUAUAAUAAGUUUUUUUUUUUUUUAAAUCUUUGACAACAAACUUUAGGAUUUGAAAUGCACCAAGGAGCCAACUAUAGUAAAGACAAGCAUAAAAAUAAAAUAUUCAUCUGUUCUGUUGUCCUACAAUCUUCAUCUGCAAAUAUUGUUGAAUACUCAACACACUUCAGAGUUUUAUUUGGAUUGCAGAAGUUAUGACUUAUUUUUCCACUUAGUUUCAUUUGAGCUUCACUUGAGCUGUUGGUGGCAGUUAUGUGAAUUUUGGGGCGGGGCUAGGGACAGGAUUAAAACAAUAAAAUUGAAAGUUUUUCUGACCAUACUGUUGGAAACUGAGGAACUUUUAUGGUAUAAUGUUCUGUAUACAGUGGCUCGCCAUGAACGGGACAGGCCCGGACCGCGAAUCGCAAAAAUCCAUGGAUAAUUGACACCCACUAUAAUUGCAUUGAUUUUUAUUUUUUUUUAACACAAAAAUAAAAGCGGGAAUAAUCAAUCAGUAAGUGUUUUCCAACCAAAAAAGAAAAACAAAAAGAAAAAAACAAAAACAAUUGGAAAAAAUUUGGAAAAACAAGGUAUGCGGGGUCAACAUAAAUGAGUCCCGUAAUUUCUCGUGUAUAAUGCGCAUUCCCUCCCCCAAAAAUUGCCAAAAGUCAACAGUGCGCAUUAUACAUGGGUAUAUGGGCAAAUGGAAAAAACCCUGCACAUUUUAUAAAUGUAUGCCGCCACCUAGUGGGUAUAAAAAAGGUGUAGCCUACACUUUCAUUCCAAUAUGACAGGGAUACGCAUAUAUGUACAGUUGUGCUCAUAAGUUUACAUACCCUGGCAGAAUUUGUGAAAUAUUGUUUUUUUUUUUUUUAAUAUGGUUGUUGUCUGAACAACAACCAUCAUUAAUUUCUUUUUGGUUAUGUUUUGUUAAAUGAUAAUGCGUUUCUGAAAUGCUUGACCGUUUAAUUUGAAUAUCAUUAAAAUAAAAUUAAAUGUGUUUCGCCUGGUCCUUCAUGUUUUCUUUAAAGAAUUGUACCCAUCUUACAAAUUCUGCCUGGGUAAUCAAACAUAUGACCACAACUGUGUGUUUUCUAAUUUACUAAAUAAAAGUAGGGCUGUGAAUUUCAAAAUAAGAGCAAGUAAAUAAAAAAAAAGGAUUAAGUGUUCAAACCAAGUGCCUAACUUCAGAAUAAUUAUUUGGAAAAAUACUAACAAAAUACAGAUAAUAAUUCAUGUGUUGAUCAUAUGGGUAGAGGCAAAAUCAUGCAUUGUAAAAAUGCAUUAUACAUUGGUAUAAAAUUUUUAGGUCAACUUUGGGGGUGCGUAUUAUACAUGGCUGCACAUUAUACACGAGAAAUUACGGUAUGUAUUCCCCCACACAAAACUUGAACCAAAGAUGAGUCUCAUCAUCAUGAGAAUUCUGAACAGUCUUCUUGUCUUCACUGAUUGAUAAAAAUUGAUUCAUUUGUGUUGAGAAAGGUACAUAAACAGUAUCAUGAACAAUUGGAAGGAAUAAUUGAGCUGCCAAAAUAACAGUUUGUAUCAUUAUGGGGGUUAAAACUGUCUGCUGUUUUUUUUUUUUUAAUUAUACUGACAGAAGGUAAAAGAUGGGGAGGUGUCAAAAUGCUGCUAGAAACGAGGAGGUAAAGAGAGGACAGAGAAGAUAAAAGGGUUAAUGUAUGAGAACAAGUGAGGUAAAGGGGAGCUGAGAGCCGAGUGGGGCUUAAUGGGGGGUUUGAGACAGAGAGAGAAGCCUGUAAUCAUUGUUGUUGUGUGACUUAAAAUAGAGCGCUCCCAGCCUAUAAACAGAAACAUGCUAUUACUAGUGCACUGACAAAGCAAGUGUUAGAUCCAGACGUGCACGUCCUUGCAGUCGUGUGUGUGCGUGUGUAAAAGACCACUGCACACAUGGAGCUGGUUACAGCACGGCCCUCUGGGUAAUGUGGUUCAUUGAGGGGCACCAGAGAACUACAACCACCGAUCAAUGGUCAGAUUAAAAUGCUGUUUCUCCAUUUGGCUCCAUGGGUAUUUUCAACCCCAAUGUGCAUCAUCAUCAUACUAUUCUCAAACACGGGGCCUUUUCAAAAUAAAAAUAUGGAAUUAAACUCAGUUAUUAUGAGACUCUUUUGACAUGCUUACCUUGUAUUUGAGCUACACUAUUCCAACAGUCCAAAGUCAAAAUGCAUAAUAAUAAAACAGAAACCAACACAGAAACAAAUUUGUUUCAGAAAGAGAAAAUUGUUUGAAGAUAAAUAUGUGAAAUAGGUGAGUCACCUGUGUGUCCGUCUCUGUAUCGGGGACUAUGACUUCGUUCAAGCAAACUAGCUCUGGGGCGCGACUGCAAGACUCUGUUUCUCUUCAUGCAAACUUCUACAUGUUUUUCUCUCAGCUGGAGAAACACGGCCAGACUGGAUGGCUGGAAGGGGAGCAGAAAAUAACAAAAAGACAUUGCUGUUAACUGGGCCCGACUUGUGACAACAUUCUCCUUCAAAGUAAAACUGAUACAUGUAUACACCAGCCACAUCAUUGAACACACCUUAACGAUCUAAUGAGAUCCAUUCUAACACGUCAACAUUAUUGUUGAAUGCUGUUGUUUUUUAAAAAAAUUAUUAUUAUUAUUGGGGUUGUAGUUUGAAAGAGCUGUUUGCAUUGUGAUGUAAUUAUCCAUCCAUCCAUCCAUCCAUUUUCUGAGCCGCUUCUCCUGAUUAGGGUCGCGGGCGUGCUGGAGCCUAUCCAAUUAUAUUUGUAUUCAAGUCUUCAUUAAUUUUGUUUUGUUUUUAGCAACAAUAUU